AACGCACGAGACCUGCGGACCUGCGGAGGGAUCAUUACAAGAGUGUGGCCCCCAUUGUAAAAAUUGGGGGGUACCUCCCGUCCUUUGCUGGCCCUUUUUUAGGGGCUUUUUUUUAAGACAUUCUGCUUCGGCGGGGUUACACCCGCCGGAACACCCUCAAAAAUUCUUUGUACAAAACCGUUCAGUCCGAGGAAAAAAAUAAAUAAAAAAAAAACUUUUAACAAUGGAUCUCUAGAUCGG
rnacentral:misc_RNA from 1 species